GAUGAACGCUAGCGAUAGGCUUAACACAUGCAAGUCGAGGGGCAGCACAAGGUAGCUUGCUAUCUGGGUGGCGACCGGCGCACGGGUGCGUAACGCGUAUGCAACUUGCCCUAUACAGGAGGAUAACCCGUCGAAAGACGGACUAAUACUGCGUAUGCUCACAACUUGGCAUCAAGUGGUGAGGAAAGAAAUUCGGUAUAGGAUAGGCAUGCGUCCCAUUAGCUUGUUGGUGAGGUAACGGCUCACCAAGGCAACGAUGGGUAGGGGAACUGAGAGGUUUAUCCCCCACACUGGUACUGAGACACGGACCAGACUCCUACGGGAGGCAGCAGUGAGGAAUAUUGGUCAAUGGGCGCGAGCCUGGACCAGCCAAGUCGCGUGAAGGAUGACUGUCUUAUGGAUUGUAAACUUCUUUUAUACGGGAAUAACAAGAGUCACGUGUGACUCCCUGCAUGUACCGUAUGAAUAAGCAUCGGCUAACUCCGUG
rnacentral:rRNA from 1 species